CCUACGGGAGGCAGCAGUGGGGAAUAUUGCACAAUGGGCGAAACCCUGAUGCAGCGACGCCGCGUGAGUGAAGAAGUACUUCGUUAUGUAAAGCUCUAUCAGCAGGGAAGAAAAUGACGGUACCUGAGUAAGAAGCCCCGGCUAACUACGGGCCAGCAGCCGCGGUAAUACGUAGGGGGCAAGCGUUAUCCGGAUUGACUGGGUGGAAAGGGAGCGUAGACGGGAGUGCAAGUCUGGGGUGAAAGGCGGGGGCGCAACCCGCGGACUGCACUGGAAACUGUACGGCUGGAGUGCAGGAGAGGUAAGUGGAAUUCCUAGUGUAGCGGUGAAAUGCGGAGAUAUUAGGAGGAACGCCAGUGGCGAAGGCGACUUACUGGACUGUAACUGACGUUGAGGCUCGAAAGCGUGGGGAGCAAACAGGAUUAGAUACCCCAGUAGUC
rnacentral:rRNA from 1 species